UACAGAGGUCCCAAGCGUUGUUCGGAUUUACUGGGCGUAAAGGGCGCGUAGGCGGCUCGGCACGUCCGUUGUGAAAUCGCCCGGCUCAACUGGGCGGGGUCAGCGGAUACGGUCGAGCUUGAGCAAGCUAGGGGGCAAUGGAAUUCCCGGUGUAGUGGUGGAAUGCGUAGAUAUCGGGAGGAACACCAGUGGCGAAGGCGGUUGCCUGGGGCUUUGCUGACGCUGAUGCGCGAAAGCGUGGGGAGCAAACAGG
rnacentral:rRNA from 1 species